UACGUAGGCAGCGAGCGUUGUUCGGAAUUACUGGGCGUAAAGCGUGCGCAGGCGGUUUUGUAAGUCUGUCGUGAAAUCCCCGGGCUCAACCUGGGAAUGGCGAUGGAGACUGCAAGGCUAGAAUCUGGCAGAGGGGGGUAGAAUUCCACGUGUAGCAGUGAAAUGCGUAGAGAUGUGGAGGAACACCGAUGGCGAAGGCAGCCCCCUGGGUCAAGACUGACGCUCAUGCACGAAAGCGUGGGGAGCAAACAGG
rnacentral:rRNA from 1 species